AUUAGCUUUGAUCAGUUCCUUACAACAGAAGAUAUAAAAUUAAAAAAAAAUUAAAAACAUAUUCCAUGAGUAAGAAUUUUACACAUAUAGAUUCUUUUUGAAGUUGAACCCCACCAAUAUGGCUCCUCCAUAUAACCCACUUGUUUUUCAACAUAUUCCUUUGAUAAUUUCUUACUUCAUUUGUGCUACAAACAAACCAUAUAAACUAGACAACUUUACCAUAUUUCUUAGAAGAAACAUAACACAAAAUGGCUUCUAGCAAGGUCAAUGCUGCUGGGGGUGUUGAAGCUUGCACUAGCUCUAGCAGCAGCCAAGUGAGUAUGCAGGAGAAAAAGCCUAACACCAAAGGCUCAACCUCAUCAAGUUCCAACAUGGAGAAAGCGCUCGUAAAAAGAGCGCUUUUUGGCUUGCGCCAUCGCCAUGCUGGAGGUAGAAGGAAUUCGAACAGCAGUGUUAGAUCAUUACCAAGCAGGUUAAGCAAGGUUUCUCUGGCUGAUGAGCCAGCGGACUAGUAAGAAGGAGGUGGAGAACCAUAUUCACAGUUGGAGAAUCAUAGAAUUCGUAAGAGUAUUGGAAGGUGUUUGACCAUUGAGUUUGUUAGUGAAAAGUACAUAGAAAAUAAUUGUGUGAUGUUUGAUUUUGAGCAUUGAUUAAUGAUGUAACAUGUAAAUUAAAGCAAUGUAUGAAAAACCAAUUCAACCCA